CAUAUCAAUAAGCGGAGGAAAAGAAACCAACAGGGAUUGCCCCAGUAACGGCGAGUGAAGCGGCAACAGCUCAAAUUUGAAAUCUGGCCCCAGGCCCGAGUUGUAAUUUGCAGAGGAUGCUUUUGGCGCGGUGCCUUCCGAGUUCCCUGGAACGGGACGCCAUAGAGGGUGAGAGCCCCGUACGGUUGGACACCAAGCCUUUGUAAAGCUCCUUCGACGAGUCGAGUAGUUUGGGAAUGCUGCUCUAAAUGGGAGGUACAUUUCUUCUAAAGCUAAAUAUUGGCCAGAGACCGAUAGCGCACAAGUAGAGUGAUCGAAAGAUGAAAAGCACUUUGGAAAGAGGGUUAAACAGCACGUGAAAUUGUUAAAAGGGAAGCGCUUGUGACCAGACUUGCGUCCGGUGAAUCACCCAGCUCUCGCGGCUGGGGCACUUCGCCGGCACAGGCCAGCAUCAGCUUGCCGUCGGGGACAAAAGCUUCAGGAACGUGGCUCCUCUCGGGGAGUGUUAUAGCCUGUUGCAUAAUACCCUUCGGCGGGCUGAGGUACGCGCUCCGCAAGGAUGCUGGCGUAAUGGUCAUCAGCGACCCGUCUUGAAACACGGACCAAGGAGUCAACCUUAUGUGCGAGUGUUUGGGUGUUAAACCCCUACGCGUAAUGAAAGUGAACGCAGGUGAGAGCUUCGGCGCAUCAUCGACCGAUCCUGAUGUUCUCGGAUGGAUUUGAGUAAGAGCAUAUAGGGUUGGACCCGAAAGAAGGUGAACUAUGCGUGUGUAGGGUGAAGCCAGAGGAAACUCUGGUGGAGGCUCGCAGCGGUUCUGACGUGCAAAUCGAUCGUCAAACAUGCGCAUGGGGGCGAAAGACUAAUCGAACCUUCUAGUAGCUGGUUCCGC
rnacentral:rRNA from 1 species